GCUUCUAGCGAUAGGGUCACACCUGUUCCCAUACCGAACACAGCCGUUAAGCCUAUCAGCGCCGAUGGUAGCCAUCAAGCAAGAGUAGGUCAGUGCCGGAA
rnacentral:rRNA from 1 species